AGUGAACGCUGGCGGUAGGCCUAACACAUGCAAGUCGAACGGCAGCACAGUAAGAGCUUGCUCUUACGGGUGGCGAGUGGCGGACGGGUGAGGAAUACAUCGGAAUCUACUUUUUCGUGGGGGAUAACGUAGGGAAACUUACGCUAAUACCGCAUACGACCUACGGGUGAAAGCAGGGGAUCUUCGGACCUUGCGCGAUUGAAUGAGCCGAUGUCGGAUUAGCUAGUUGGCGGGGUAAAGGCCCACCAAGGCGACGAUCCGUAGCUGGUCUGAGAGGAUGAUCAGCCACAGUGGAGCUGAGACACGGUCCAGACUCCUACGGGAGGCAGCAGUGGGGAAUAUUGGACAAUGGGCGCAAGCCUGAUCCAGCCAUACCGCGUGGGUGAAGAAGGCCUUCGGGUUGUAAAGCCCUUUUGUUGGGAAAGAAAAGCAGCAGGUUAAUACCCCGCUGUUCUGACGGUACCCAAAGAAUAAGCACCGGCUAACUUCGU
rnacentral:rRNA from 1 species